rnacentral:rRNA from 1 species
UACGUAGGGGGCAAGCGUUGUCCGGAUUUAUUGGGCGUAAAGAGCGUGUAGGCGGCCUGACAGGUCUGCUGUGAAAACUCGAGGCUCAACCUCGAGACGUCGGUUGAAACCGUCUGGCUAGAGUCCGGAAGAGGAGAGUGGAAUUCCCGGUGUAGCGGUGAAAUGCGCAGAUAUCGGGAAGAACACCCGUGGCGAAGGCGGCUCUCUGGGACGGUACUGACGCUGAGACGCGAAAGCGUGGGGAGCGAACAGG